GAGCAUUAGUUUAAAUAAAACAUUUGAUUUCGGCUCAAAAGAUUUUGGUUAAACCCCACAAUAGCUCU
rnacentral:tRNA from 1 species